rnacentral:rRNA from 1 species
GACAGAGGGUGCAAACGUUGUUCGGAUUUACUGGGCGUAAAGCGCGUGUAGGCGGCUUUGCAAGUCGGAUGUGAAAUCCCACGGCUCAACCGUGGAAGUGCAUCCGAAACUGCAUCGCUGGAGUCUCGGAGAGGAAGGUGGAAUGCUUGGUGUAGAGGUGAAAUUCGUAGAUAUCAAGCAGAACACCUGCGGCGAAGGCGGCCUUCUGGACGAUGACUGACGCUGAGACGCGAAAGCGUGGGGAGCAAAC